rnacentral:rRNA from 1 species
GCUUACGGCCAUACAGCCUGAAUACGCCCGAAUCUCGUGAUCUCGGAAGCUAAGCAGGGUCGGGCCUGGUUAGUACUUGGAUGGGAGACCGCCUGGGAAUACCAGGUGCUGUAAGCA